CCUGAUCCAGCAAUGCCGCGUGAGUGAAGAAGGCCUUCGGGUUGUAAAGCUCUUUUGUCGGGGAAGAAACGGUGGAGGCUAAUAUCCUUUGCUAAUGACGGUACCUGAAGAAUAAGCACCGGCUAACUACGUGCCAGCAGCCGCGGUAAUACGUAGGGUGCAAGCGUUAAUCGGAAUUACUGGGCGUAAAGCGUGCGCAGGCGGUUUUGUAAGUCUGUCGUGAAAUCCCCGGGCUCAACCUGGGAAUUGCGAUGGAGACUGCAAGGCUAGAAUCUGGCAGAGGGGGGUAGAAUUCCACGUGUAGCAGUGAAAUGCGUAGAUAUGUGGAGGAACACCGAUGGCGAAGGCAGCCCCCUGGGUCAAGAUUGACGCUCAUGCACGAAAGCGUGGGGAGCAAACAGGAUUAGAUACCCUGGUAGUCCACGCCCUAAACGAUGUCUACUAGUUGUCGGGUCUUAAUUGACUUGGUAACGCAACUCACGCGUGAAGUAUACCGCCUGGGGAGUACGGUCGCAAGAUUAAAACUCAAAGGAAUUGACGGGGACCCGCACAAGCGGUGGAUGAUGUGGAUUAAUUCUAUGCAACGCGAAAAACCUUACCUACCCUUGACAUGGCAGGAAUCCCUGAGAGAUUG
rnacentral:rRNA from 1 species